CUUGCUGUGUAUUGUACUUGUAAUACAUCAAUGGGCUGCAGCCAGAACCCCUUCGAUUAUUUUCCUUCAGUUCCUCAAUCCGUUCCAUAAAGCCGAUCCGCUUGGUGCUUAAGUGCUCCAUCGGCGGCUUCUAUUAAGGCUUCGCAUUUGCUCAAAAUUAAAACAACAAACGGGCUAAAUGAAUCACGGCGGAUGGGCGGACGAAUCGAUAAACGCCUUCUGGCUCCUGCGAUGCGUUCAAACUUGGUCGCCUUUUUCUGUUGCUCUUGAGGGAAUUGGCAGGUAACGGAAAUGAUGACGACGCUAGCGAUCGUAUGAUGAUGCUCUUCACGGCCACACUUCAGUGUGAUUCACAGUUACCUUAGCUCAAUUACGUUAGCUUCCUGCAUUUCAAUAGUGAAAUAUCUUUUACUGAUGGUUGGCUGCAUACGCUGAUCGGACCAAUCACCUCAAGGUAAACGUGCGGGCCUGGUGGCGGCGGCGGCGGCGGCUUACCUUUCUCUGACCUCAUCAGCCGCUUCUGUCGUCUGCUUUGGGAUUGGGGAGGAUUUUUCAGCGUUCGCUGUACACAAAGAAAAAAUCUGUUGCAUAGAAACGGAUAUCGAGACCAUUAGAGACCUUGGAAAUAGUUGCAUACACAUGAAGGCUAGUCAACUGUGAAAAAGUGGCAGUACCUUUAGAGGUUUGACGUCUACAAAAGCAUUCUGCAACAUGAAAUUAUAUUCGCUAGAACUUUUGCAAUACGAAUAAAUGAUGUUCUUCAGGCUACAGUGACCCUACCGCACACUGCGGGGCGUGCAGUACGUACGCACGAUACAGGUCGAGACCAGUCGAAUUUGAAACAGAUUACCUGAAUAACUUCUACCGAUGCUCAACCGUUCACCUGACGUUCGUUUGAAAGAACGAGACAGGCGUGAUUCUCCAAGAACUCGAGAAGACCUUAGUAAUAUAAACUUGAAGCUGCCAAAACCAUUGACGUAGGACAUUAAUAAUGGCUUCAUUUAGAAACAGUCGGCUGUGUCCGCUAACAAACACGGCUCGCCUAGACGCUCAAGACAAAUUCCUAUAAAUGACAUCCUAUUUCACACGAUUAUUGACAUAACAAUCGGUAUUUGUUUUAGAUCUAUGUUACUUACCUAUUUCCUACUGAUAUAUCUACAAGCUACGUUCUCCAGACGGUGUACCGGCAUGGAGCUGCUUGCCUGGUACGACGGAGCCACAGAUCAGUUAGCGUAAAUAUAAUGUAUUCCAAUUUAACUAUAAAUGGAUUUAAAAAGUGCCAUUCCUCUUGUACCUUUAUGUAUUUUGUUGUGAGGAGCGUCUAGAAAGAAAUGCCCAACCCGUCUCAAUGUACCAGUGAGUUUUCGUUCUGUAGGUUCGUUUUGAUAACAAUACCUGCUGUCAAUGUUUUUCUUUGUGUUUCAAUAUAUCUGUGCGCUGCAUAAUUUGGCUGUACAACUGGUUGUUAUGCGUUCGACGAUUUUUUUAGACGACCAUUUAGUCCUAUUGAUAUACUGCUGCUUGUCUAGAGCCGAAGGCGGACAGGAAGACGGUGCCUGGACUCGAUGCUACGAAAAAUGGAGAUGAUGCUUUUCCUUAUCAUGUUGUCGUUGUUGCUGCUGCUGUUGCUGUUGCCGCCGCCAAUGAUGACGGAAACGGUGGUUACUUGUAUAAACUCAAUACGGUCAAUUUCUUUUGCACAGGUCGUUCUUCUCGACGCGCUGAUUGUCGGCCAGUACAACAACCGCCACAGCUAGUCCGACGGUCCAUUCAUAAAUAAUUGUUAUUAUUAUUGCCUACGGCCAUCGCAGCUUUCGUUUAAUAUCGUAGCUGCUGGUGAGACCGCUGUUGGCUAGAAUCGAGCUUCCUUUGAGAAAGGCACUGCAAUCUGCGCGAAGCAAAGACAUAGGCAGAUGCUGUCGCGUGCGUUGGCGACCGCAGAUGAGGCCGCUACUUGUCGUUUUUGCUAUUAAAGCUGCCGCGAUUAGUCUGGCGGUAUACGUCGCGCUGAUUAACUGGGUGAAGUGCGUUAGAGCUUUGUAUGCCUCUAUGUACAUGUGUGCUCCUGUAUGUGCGUGUGGUGAUCUCGAUUUAUUUAGCUUAAUCUUAUGCCGGACUCAUCCUGAAAUCUGCACAGAGUUUCGGAAGAGCCUCAACAGCAGUGAAUGCCAGAUGCGUAUACCAAGAAACGACUGCUUCUGCUGAUGGUGCGGUGGCGUCGCCUCGAUGGGACCCUAACGGCCGACGUUUGGUCUCAUGUAGAUUAAGGGAACGAUGUUAAGAUGCCCGCGCUCAUCUUGGUACACGUGCGACCACCUCCAAUUCCGCACUAUUAGCCAUAUUAUCGAAGCGACUACUACAAAAUAGUCAGUCGCUGCUUUAGAAGUUAGUUAGCUAGCUACAAACGUGCAAAUGGCCAAACCCACAAGAGCCAAAGGGAUACAGGCGGUAAUAGUUUAGCUGAAUAGAGUAAGAUAAACAAAAACAGCCGAGCGUGAUUCGCCGAACGAACCGAUCACUGCAAUACUGGCAGAGCUUUGAAAAUCUACGUGGGACGGGGGAGAAGGGGGUUCCGUGUGUGGACUAUUGCUCACAGCAGUAUCUAGGUGCACAUUGAUUGAUAUUUAAACUUGUUACUUUAUAUAUUUAGACCGCUAAUUUAACGAAAAUUGAAAAGUAACAUUAUCGAGAAUGUUCCGUAUACACACCCUUUGUUGUUACGGUUAGAACAUCAGCUUUCAAGCCUACCGUUUUCAUGUUUCCUAGACUUAUCGAAUUCAAAAUGGCUAGACACUGGUACCUGAUAAGGUGUUCGCCAUUAACAUGCCUCAUUAUAAUACUGGAAUGAUAUGGAAUAGUUUCGAUGAAACCGCGGGUCAGUCUAACUCAAUUUAGUCAACCAUUGUACCAGCGAGUGCAACCAACACCUCAUUAUUUAGCCAGCGGUAUAAAGUCACUAGCUAUUUUUUAAGACCCUAACUAAUUUUCGAUCAUAUGGAGAUUAUAGGAAGAGGAUUAUAUAUAACAAUCAUGUCGUUCUGAUAUUUUACAGGUGAUCUACUAUUCAAGUUUGUGCUUAUUUAUUCAAUUCAAAACUUGCUUGUUUACGAGAUGAGCUAGUGUUUUUUGUAAUGAUUUUUUACCCUAGCUUAAUUUUUUAAAUGAAUUCCAGCUAGGUGAUCCUAGGUUGCGUAACAAUAUUAAUUAUUCGUUACUGACAAAUAAAUGCAACGAAACAAGUUAGGAAAACCUGUAAUAGGAAUGCUCGAUCAGACUACCUUCGCAUCGUACCAACCUGUCGUACAAUUUAAUAUGAUACAUGAUAACUCUUCGCCUGUAAAAUAUUCAGCCAAUAUUUUUUCAGAACAUGAAAAAUUUGCAUAAACCAUAGCUAACACCUUUUCAAAUUUUGCGAUUCUGUCAUGAUCUUCUCGGACGUAUACGUGGCGAGCAUUGUUGCCUGUAAGCUUCUCAGAAGUCAAUGGGAAUUAGCAGUCCUUCAGUUUAUUUUAACUAAUUAAGACGCUCAAAGCUUAUCUUCUAAUCAUCAACUUAUUUCAAGUUACUUUAACUCUGGCUGCACUAAAAUUUAUCUAGAUAUAUAUUAACGGUGCCUUAAUUUCAGCACUGAAGCAGCACGGAAUUAAUCUAACCGCAAUUUUUCGUACGUAUUGGGGUAUAUUUUUUCCAAGAGAUAAAGCUGUCUCGGCGAUUGAUAAAUCUACCACUUAUCUAGCCGACUAAACAUAUACUCCGACUAACAGUGGUCUAUUUAUACUUAUUUUUGGUCUAUUUAAUACUGGCCAAAGGCUGGCUUGAUCCAGGUAGUUGUCCUGAGUGUUGUUCAUGGCCGGCUGAUCUAGCUUCAAUUCCGGAGCAAUGUUGACACGUGAAUCGUCGAGUCGCUAUCAGGAUAAGCGAACGUUGCUAAGACGGCGUUUGAAGGCCGAAGGCAAAAACCGGCAUCCGGGUUGUGGAACAAGUGGCCACUGGUGGUCACGACCAAAGCUCAGAUGCGCAGCCCGAUUUUGGCGAGCAGAUAUUAGGAUGGAGCAAAUAAUAGGAGGAUAGUAUUAGCAAUCUGUCGAUACAGGUCUAUCGCAGAUUGCUGCUUAGGUUCAAGUAGACAUCUUUAGCUGACCUACGGUUGUUGUCUGAAAAAAAGUGUUCCUGUUUAAACUAACAUCUAGUACGUGUGCAUAGAUAUUAUGGAACUAUAUGUUUAGCGCAUUUCUAACGCGCCGAUGCUGUCUAUCGAUCCCUACGAUGGUGCAAUAAUAUUGUAUCCCACGAAAAUUAAAGAUAAGUAAGCUGGCCUAGCUUCGAAACCGGACCUAGACAUAAACCGUUUCGUAUCAAGAGCCAGUCAUCUGCAGCAAUGCUUAAUGGUAGUACAGUUGAACGUAUUAAUUUGACAUUUAUUUAGGUACGUUAAUUGGGAUCUUAUGUCUGGGAGCGUUUUUCAUGAAACAUAGGCGGGCGCGCUAUGGAAUGGCCUGUUUCUUGAACUUGAAACUGCGACGGGUCCUCGUAUGCUACAGUCUAGAUACUGCAAAAGCGCAUGCCGUAAGGCAACUUUCUUAGACUGCCAUAAUUUGUGCUUGUUCCAGCGGUCGAACAGCGAUGCAUUUUUGUCCUUGCGACCAAUAUGAAAUUACAAGCGAUAAAUAAAAUAGAUAUUGAACUUCAGGACGAGUCGUAAUCUCUAGGACGCUAUUUGGCUUCAUUACGAGUUCACUUAAAUUAUACGCGGCAACAUGAGAUAUAAUUUAAAAAAAUAUUACUCUUAUAACUAUUAUAGGUAGAAACAGUAGCUUUGCAGAAAUGUGCCAACACUGGCGUUACAAACGUCACAGACAAGUUGUGCUCAUUUGGCGGAUCUAGUUUACGACACUGCCAUAAAGGCGUUAGUCUGUGUCCAAGCUGGAUGGAAAUAGUUACGGAAGGUUAGCCAGCUCGAUCGAUAUAUUCUAUCUGACUAUAUGUAGCCAUACGUGCUUCGGCUCCUGGACCAGUAUUACGCUCAGAACUAGAAAUACGGUAAGAAAGAAACGGCUCGUUUUAUUUUAUGAUACAUUUGUAGGUCCGAAGACUUUCGUAGGAUCAGAUUGCAGUAAGAUAAAUUGGAUCAAUUAAAUAAGGUGGCGCCCCUUCAGAUUACUAAACGGUCUAUCUGGUGCAUCUAUUGGGAGGUAAUUGUAGAAGUAAACACGCGUGAAACCAAACUGGGCCAACGUUUCCUCGUUUUUCCGGUGUCAUAUCUUCUACUAUAGCACGGCAUCGGUAGACAGAACGUAACUAUGAGAUGCGAAGUAUGCUAAACUAAGCAAAUAUUGGCUUUAGAGAAUUUCAGCAAAUGAUCUUUGCGCGAGCAAGAAGGCUUUCGCAUUUAUAUAAUAGUCAGUAAUUGAGUCAACGCUAUUUAUGUCUAACGACAAGUCUGCUGUACGCAUCGUCUGGCCGAAAAACCUUCGAACGAAACAGUGUAAAAAAUAACGUCGCUAACUGGCUAUCUACAUUAGCGCUGGUCUAAAGUUCACGGGUUUAAAUUUACUUGAACAAUCUAUAGAAAAAAAAAAAACACCCUGAGCCCAUUUUCUUUGUUGUUCCCUUUCUUGGAAAAACCUGUCCAUUCCCCUUCGUUGAUCGAUUUGACCUUCGUGGAUUCUGCUCAAGUGAAUCUGAGAGGGUCAGUAACUCGUAUCGAUCAAUUCCUUAUCAAUCGCCAGACUCAGGCACAACUCAAGACGUACGCCGCCAAUAGAGUAAAUGGCCGGAACGCUGCGACAAUCUUUGAUACAGCUCUAUGCUCAACAUUUUGGUAGGCUGUGUUUUUUCAAACUGAACUAUCUGCUGAAAAUGCAGAUCAAAACGUUGCUGGUAUCUGAUACAAUUACAGACGUGUUCCUUAUUGUUAAAGCCGCAUUCAUGAUUGAAGCAAGCGGAUGUAUACCCACAUAACUGUUCCUAACAAUGACUGCGGUACGAGCUUUAUACGGCGUCGAUAUAUGGCAUGAUGCGAAAAUAUAAUGCUCCUUCUUUCUAAAAUAAACCAACGAAUGUGUAUUGAGAAUUAUCUGCAAUGUUCGUUCAAUGCGGGAAACCGAUUCAGGGAAAAUUCGACCUAUUGCCGUUGAAAGAAUAGCAGGUUUCUUAGCCUUUACCCCGUUUUUUUUUUGGAUUCCGAUUUUAGAUAGAGAAUGUUAUUCUAACAGCUUACCUGAUUUUCUGCAUUGAAUAUGCCAUAUGGCCACGGACGUAGAAUAGGACAUUCAAACACCAUCACACGCGUAGUCGCUAUGUUAGAAUUGUGCUGUCUUAAAGUGAAAGUAACUAUGGAGUUAUAGUGUUGCUUUUUGAAGUAAAAAUCAGCUACAAUCAAACUAUCAGGCCUAACCAGUAGGUUGUUGUUCCGAUGAUUAGGUUAAGGUUAUUGAACAGAGCGUCUUAGCACAAGUGAGUCUCUACAUUUAGCUGCGGUUUCUAUAACUUUUGCCUGUAUCGUAGCUUCCCUCAGUGUAGAGGUAAUUCACCGCUGAAAUCUAGAGUUCGUAUUCGACAUUAUCCUAUUAUGGCGCUGCAGUAAGAGAUCAUAAUAUGAUGACAGGAACUGCUUGGCAAACAGAUGAGCCAGUUAUUUAAACUGCGACUCUAACACCUGCAUAUGGCCCCCCUCUGGGGCAUGCCGCUAAUGAGUGUAAAAUUGACUUACUAAUUUUGUUGACUUCUUUUAAUCUAUCGCUGUCUUCUCUCUGUGCUGAAUACGCUGGUCAGCAAAUGGUCGCGGGUAUCUGCCAUGCUGACGAAACGCACAUUGGCACGAGCUGAGAAAAUCAAUCUAACGGCUAUCAACUUGGUUAACGAAUCAAAAAUGCAUCUCAUCUAUCUCUAGCCUCUUGUAGACAUCUCGGCAUACCCACCUAUGAAUACAAUUAGU